ensembl:misc_RNA Metazoa_SRP Metazoan signal recognition particle RNA
GCCGGGCGUGGUGGCGGAUGCCUGUAGUCCCAGCUACUCGGGAGGCUGAGGCAGGAGAAUUGCUUGAGCCCAGGAGGAGGAGGCUGUAGUGAGCUGAGAUCAUGCCACUGCACUCCAGCCUGGGCAACAGAGGCAGAUUCUGUCUCAA